UACGUAGGUGGCAAGCGUUGUUCGGCCUUCUUGUUCUUCCCGGGCGCGUAGGCGGCUUGUUAAGUCGGCUGUGAAAGCCCGGGGCUCAACCCCGGAGGGUCAGCCGAUACUGGCAGGCUAGAGUACGGAAGAGGUAGCUGGAAUUCCCGGUGUAGCGGUGAAAUGCGUAGAUAUCGUUUGGAACGCCAAUGGUGAAAACAGGUUGCUGGGAGUGUGCUGACGCUGAGACACGAAAGCCAGGGGAGCAAACGGG
rnacentral:rRNA from 1 species